rfam:Operophtera brumata OBRT01_Sc03186, whole genome shotgun sequence.
UACUAGGCCCUUUUUAGGGCCACCACUAGUUCGGCACACACUUUUU